UCCAGGGUAGCCUAGUGGACUUGGCAUCUGCCGUAAGUGGAACACUAUGGGUUCGAUUCCUAUCCCUGAAC